UACGGGGGGGGCAAGCGUUGUUCGGAAUUACUGGGCGUAAAGGGCUCGUAGGUGGCCAACUAAGUCGGACGUGAAAUCCCUCGGCUUAACCGGGGAACUGCGUCCGAUACUGGUUGGCUUGAGUUUGGGAGAGGGAUGCGGAAUUCCAGGUGUAGCGGUGAAAUGCGCAGAUAUCAGGAGGAACACCAAUUGCGAAGGCAGCUCGCUGGGACGUAACUGACGCUGAGACGCGAAAGCGUGGGGAGCAAACAGG
rnacentral:rRNA from 1 species